GGUCUGAGAGGACGACCAGUCACACUGGAACUGAGACACGGUCAGACACCUACGGGUGGCAGCAGUCGAGAAUUUUUCACAAUGGGCGAAAGCCUGAUGGAGCGACGCCGCGUGGGGGAUGAAGGGCUUCGGCUCGUAAACCCCUGUCAUUCGAGAACAAACCCUGCUAUUUAACAGAUGGCAGGCUGAUAGUAUCGGAAGAGGAAGGGACGGCUAACUCUGUGCCAGCAGCCGCGGUAAUACAGAGGUCCCAAGCGUUGUUCGGAUUUACUGGGCGUAAAGGGUGCGUAGGCGGCGAGGGAAGUUCGAGGUGAAAUCUCCAGGCUCAACCUGGAAAUUGCCUUGAAGACUCCCUUGCUAGAGGAUCGCAGAGGAGACUGGAAUUCUCGGUGUAGCAGUGAAAUGCGUAGAUAUCGAGAGGAACACCAGUGGCGAAAGCGGGUCUCUAGGCGAUACCUGACGCUGAGGCACGAAAGCCAGGGGAGCAAACGGGAUUAGAUACCCCGGUAGUCCUGGCCCUAAACGGUGCGCACUUGCAGUGAGCAGAUUUAAAACCUGUUCGUGGCGAAGUUAACACGAUAAGUGCGCCGCCUGAGGAGUACGGUCGCAAGAUUAAAACUCAAAGAAAUUGACGGGGGCCUGCACAAGCGGUGGAGUAUGUGGCUUAAUUCGAUACUACGCGAAGAACCUUACCUGGUCUUGACAUGCAAGUAGUAGAAGCCUGAAAGGGUGACGAGAUAGCAAUAUCAGCUUGCACAGGUGCUGCAUGGCUGUCGUCAGCUCGUGUCGUGAGAUGUUGGGUUAAGUCCCGCAACGAGCGCAACCCCUGUGUCCUGUUGCCAUCCUCGCAAGAGGGGAACUCUGGACAGACUGCCCCGCUUCAACGGGGAGGAAGGUGGGGAUGACGUCAAGUCAGUAUGGCCCUUACGACCAGGGCUGCACACGUACUACAAUGCCCGGUACAGUGGGCUGCAAACCAGCAAUGGGGAGCAAAUCCUAAAAACCGGGCCCAGUUCAGAUUGUCGGCUGCAACUCGCCGGCAUGAAGCUGGAAUCGCUAGUAAUGGCGCAUCAGCUACGGCGCCGUGAAUACGUUCCCAGGCCUUGUACACACCGCCCGUCACAUCAUGAAAGCCGGUCGUACCCGAAGCCGCUGAGCCAACCGCAAGGAGGCAGGCGUCUAAGGUGUGGCUGGUGAUUGGGAUGAAGUCGUAACAAGGUA
rnacentral:rRNA from 1 species